rnacentral:rRNA from 1 species
CCUACGGGUGGCAGCAGUGAGGAAUAUUGGUCAAUGGACGAGAGUCUGAACCAGCCAAGUCGCGUGAAGGAUGAAUGUCCUAUGGGUUGUAAACUUCUUUUAUCAAGGAACAAAACGAGGCACGCGUGCCUUUCCGAAUGUACUUUAUGAGUAAGCAUCGGCUAACUCCGUGCCAGCAGCCGCGGUAAUACGGAGGAUGCGAGCGUUAUCCGGAUUUAUUGGGUUUAAAGGGGGCGUAGGUGGAUUGUUAAGUCAGCGGUAAAAGUGAGGGGCUCAACCCCGGAGAGCAGUUGAAACUGGCAGUCUUGAGAACGGGAGAGGUAGGCGGAAUGCGUGGUGUAGCGGUGAAAUGCUUAGAUAUCACGAAGAACCCCGAUUGCGAAGGCAGCAUACUGGCCGGUAACUGACGUUGAUGCACGAAAGUGUGGGUAUCGAACAGGAUUAGAUACCCCGGUAGUC